rnacentral:rRNA from 1 species
UUUACAGUAUAAAUCUUUUUUUAUUUAAAAUUUUAAUUUGUAUUUUUAGUAAAAAUACUAAAAUAAAAAAAAGGGACGAUAAGACCCUGAAAGCUUAAAAUGAUAACUAUAAAAAUUUUUAUUUAAAAUUAUAGUGUUGUUAUUAGCUGGGGUAGUUUUUAUACAAAAACUAUAAUUAAUUAAUACAUUGUUUUUAGGGUCCUUUAUAUAAGGAUAGUUAGAAAAAGUUACUUCAGGGAUAACAGCAUAAUAAUUUUGUAGAGUUCUUAUCGAUAAAAUUGAGUGUGACCUCGA